rnacentral:rRNA from 1 species
GUAUAGGUUUUAUUAUUAUUAAUAAAUUAUUAUUAAAUAAUUGUAUUUAAAUAUACAGCCACAGAAGGUGCCAGCCCUGUUAUUUAAUAAUAUUUAUUAAAUUUAUAAAACUUUAGAGUCGUGUUGCUUGGAAGUGCAGCACAAAGUUGGUGAUAAACAUCAUCUAAGGCUAAAUAUUCCUAUGAAUCCGAUAGCGAACAAGUACUGUGAAGGAAAAUUGCAAAGUACUCCGGAGAGAGAGUUAAAGAGGACGUGAAACCGAUACGAUGGAAGCAUACAGAGCCAGUUGCACUAUUAUUAAUAUUUUUUUAUUAAUAAUUUUAAGCAUGGGUAUAUUGAUUAUUAAUUAGUUAUUUAUUAAAGAGUGAUAAAAUUUUUUAAAUUUUGUUAACUUUAAUAAAAUAAUUAUAUUUAUAAUUAAUAUUUAUUAUUAUUAAUGUAUUAAUAAUAUUUUAAUUAUUAAUAUAAUAUAAGACACAUGUGUUAAAUAUUAUUUAUUAAUAAUUAUUAUAUUAUUAUAAAUUAAUAA